GGUGUAGCGGUGAAAUGCUUAGAUAUCACGAAGAACUCCGAUUGCGAAGGCAGCUCACUGGAGCGCAACUGACGCUGAAGCUCGAAAGUGCGGGUAUCGAACAGGAUUAGAUACCCUGGUAGUCCGCACGGUAAACGAUGGAUGCCCGCUGUUGGUCUGAAUAGGUCAGCGGCCAAGCGAAAGCAUUAAGCAUCCCACCUGGGGAGUACGCCGGCAACGGUGAAACUCAAAGGAAUUGACGGGGGCCCGCACAAGCGGAGGAACAUGUGGUUUAAUUCGAUGAUACGCGAGGAACCUUACCCGGGCUUGAAUUGCAGAGGAAGGAUUUGGAGACAAUGACGCCCUUCGGGGCCUCUGUGAAGGUGCUGCAUGGUUGUCGUCAGCUCGUGCCGUGAGGUGUCGGCUUAAGUGCCAUAACGAGCGCAACCCCUCUCCUUAGUUGCCAUCAGUUGAAGCUGGGCACUCUGGGGACACUGCCACCGUAAGGUGUGAGGAAGGUGGGGAUGACGUCAAAUCAGCACGGCCCUUACGUCCGGGGCUACACACGUGUUACAAUGGCAGGUACAGAGAGACGGUCCCUUGCAAAACGGAUCAAAUCCUUAAAGCCUGUCUCAGUUCGGACUGGGGUCUGCAACCCGACCCCACGAAGCUGGAUUCGCUAGUAAUCGCGCAUCAGCCAUGGCGCGGUGAAUACGUUCCCGGGCCUUGUACACACCGCCCGUCAAGCCAUGAAAGCCGGGGGCGCCUAAAGUCCGUGACCGUAAGGAGCGGCCUAGGGCGAAACUGGUAAUUGGGGCUAAGUCGUAACAAGGUAGCCGUACCGGAAGGUGCGGCUG
rnacentral:rRNA from 1 species